CUCCUGGUCUUAGCCAUCUGAUGUAAGUGCUCAAGUCAAAGUUUGUCACAGCAUUUAUGCCUCUGUAUUCAAUUGCAGCAAUAUCAUAUGCGCGAGCUGCCUCUUCUUGUGUACCUUUUGGACAAGACAUUGAGCACGUAUAAAAGGGAAUGGAGAGAAAUGGCAUAAAAGGUAACAAGGAAUUAAGAUUGCGAGAACUCACUGUAAGUUCCAAGGUAAAGGUACUUGUUGCCGAACACUCUUCCAAUCCUUGCUUCCCAUCUUCCAUUGUGAUGGUGCCUGUAAUCAAUUUUUAUCCUUAGCAUCAAAUAUAUGUUUGUAGGCAACGAAAGGUAAAGUUUGAUUGCAUGAGUUAGAAAAUGCUUCUCACCUUGCUACUCCUCUAUACUUUGAUACACCUCUAGAAAAUCCACUGCUUCUUCUGCAAUACACACACAGAAAAGGAUAUAGAUUAUAGAACUUGGAAUAUAUCAGAAAAUUCUUAAUGGCAGUAUUUCUUGGGGAAAUGAGGUUUACCUUCUCAAUGAAGCAAGGUAUUCUUCUUUGGUUACAGUUUUCAUUAUCUCAAUUUCUUUCUCAUAAUCUGAUACCUGAAAAAAUUAUCACAUGUUAGUUAGGCAUGGAUAUCAAUAAGAUAACCAUAAUGAAUAAAACAUUAUUGAAGUGUAUAUGCUAUUGACAUACUGGAAAAUUGGUGAACGUUGAUGUUCCCCAAUACUUAAGUGCAGCCAAAUCAUAAGCUCUAGCAGCAGCUUCUUCAUCAUUAUAAGCUCCUGAUUUAACCAUGAGCAUUUAAUCCAAAAGGGUUAAUUUUUCUACUCUGUGCAGUUAUAUCCAAAGAACAUAUGAAGGAGUAAAAGAGUUGAAGUACUCACCCAAAUACACUGUUCCACAUCAGCAAAGCAACACAUCCAAGUUCAGAAACAGAACCACGAUGGAAAUGAACAAGGGUGUUAACAAUCAGAAAAAAGAACAAAAACAAACAAAUACCCAAUGAAAGUGAAAAGUAGCUGAGUCCAAGUUUUCAACAUCUACCUUGCUUUCCUUUCUUUUUCUGAGUUGGAUUCCAUGUCCCUUUAUCCCAUAGAUGUGCUUCAUACCUUCCAGUCCAUCUGUGUCUGCUUCAUAAGAAAAUAUGAUCAGCCUCAAAUCAGAAUUCAGAAAGGAAUAAAGGUUAAUUUACUAUCAAAUUGGUCUUUAGUCAGAGUUACAUGUGGUACUUGAAAACAAAACAUUAUAAUUUUGAUUUUAGUCUUAAGUAAAUGACUGUUUUACCCCACAAAAAUCAAAAUAUUAGAUGGCUGAAAAGCCAAAUUUUCAAAUACCAUAGGAUAAUUAACAAUUUCUUAGAGAUCAUUUUGUCCUUAAACCAAGAAAAAAA